AUGUAGGUCGCAUGUGUGAGGGUUGUUGUCUCGUGCAUAAAUCUAGUGUAGAAAAUAAUUCAAAAUUAGAUUUAUAGAUGACUUGCCUUGUUUACGUUUUGCUAGCAGGCAGAUUUGGUCGAGCGCUUUUAGAGAAUACCAACAGCAAUAACGUAAUUUCAUUGACGUUUUGCUUCUUAUAUUUUUAAAUCUAAUCAAGUCGACGGCGUGGAUAUUUUCAAUUUAGAACCACAUGAUAUUUAUCAGAUGAUUCCUCGAAUAAAACUUCACAAGAAGUUUACGUGUAUUUGGAAUGACGUUACUCAAAAGGGCUUGUCAGAAUCAGCUUGAACAGUGCACUCCCACAUCUAUUCAAGCCACAUAAGAACCAUCAACUUGGAUGUAAAUGAAGACAUUGUUCUUAGUACUUCAGCUGAUCAUCAAAAUGAUGAGAACAUUCAACCAGAGAGACAUCUCAAGGACAAUGUUCCAAGGAGUCCCUUGACAGCUAAUGUGAACAGUUCCAAUUGGUUGUCCAAGUUUUGUUU